AGUUUAUAAGUGACUCUAUGGAGACUGGCUUUCUUGCAUGCACACCAGCCUCUGGCUUCUUUACUAGUCAUUCCAUGCAGGAAGAGCGCACACACCAAGCGCGGAUGCUUCCUCAGCCUGACAAAGGGUAUUUGUACCCAAAAGCUUGCAAAGAAGAAUUUUUCCUACUGUUUGAUUUGGUCUAAUAAAAGAGAUCAGAUUUACCCAAAGAACCUCUUCUGUCUAUGGAGACAUGCAACUUAUAACAACACUCGAGGAGUUACUAAUUAACUAUGAAGAGGAAAGUGGAAUUCCAUACGCAUGAAGGGGAAAGUGACUUCAGGCAGGGGGUCAGCAAAGUCAAUGCACCAGGCAUAAAACCCAGGAAAAUCUAUCAGGAAAUCAACUAUUGCUGUCUGGGGCUUAAAGUCUGAUGUUCAGACUGGCCUAUUUUUGUUUGUCUCACCAUUGAGAUCCAACCCUUGCGAUGCUGGUAUGAAGAACGGUUUGCUGGAUGAGAGCCAAAAAGGAGAUGCCUUUGUGCCUCCUUGAUCCUCGGAUGUACUGGGAGCCCUCAGCAUGCUUUGUGAAAAUCUCAGGGUUAUUCUAAUUAGCACGAAAUAGUAAUGGCCCCUGGGGAGGUUUUAUUCUAGCUGGAGAUUGCUGGAGCACAAAGAUAUUCUGAUCAUAUUCCUUUCCCUUCAUUAUGUCCAGUACAUUAUAGAUCGUGGGAGAUGGGUGGCAUAAAGCCAGCUCUCUGUCACUAAGGGAAGUCCCCCAGUGGGUAUUACAAUUGCAGUGCACUGUUGGAACAACGUAAAGAGGCCAGGAUCUGAUCUGAUCUGACGUGUAAGUGCAAACAUACUUUAUAUAGUCAUUAUAACAUAGUAAAAAACCUGCUGUGGAAUAGCAGGGCUUAUAAACCUGCACCAGGCAUACUGCAGCAUCAGACUUUUAGAGAGAUAAGUCUCGUUCAUUCACGGUUACCCUUUCCAUUUCUCACCUUUCUAAUUCCCACAAACGCUUCUGUUCACAAACGUCUCAAUGCUGCAGCACUGACAACACGCUGAAUUACUCUAGUGCGCUUUGCAGAGAGAGGGCACGGAUGAGUAGACAAACCCUCUAAGUACAAAACCAGGGGAACAGAUGGUUGCGACAAGGCACUUAUUUUUGCACAAUAAGUGUUAGUGGACUCCCCCGAGAUCUGACGUAUGCUGGAGAAGCUGCUAAAUGGCCACAGUGAGUCAGCUGCAGCACUGAUAAGAAAUAAAACUUUUCUUAUUCAUAUGUGCAAGCCAAGUCCUUCUGUUUUAUUCCACGCUUAACCCUUCGGUGGAAUUCCUUGCUGAUGGGGGCUCAGAUAGCUGCUUUCCUGGGUCAUAGGAAAGCCAACAGAACUCCCCUUGGACCUUGGUUGAGUCAUAGGAAAUAGUGUUUAGCUAGGUAGGGGGAUACUUGCUCAGACGUACAGAACCACAUAGCUGGUGCUGUAGUGGGGUAGACCAGUAGGCCAUCUUGUUCUACAUCAAGUCUCUAACAGUGGCCAGUACUAGCUGUUUAAGAUGAGGAUGAAAGAAGAAAUCCUACAGUAGGCAGUUGCUGUCUACAGUUAUCACUUGUCCGCAUAGAAAGUUUCCUGGCAGCUCCAAAAAGUGAGAGGUUAGAGUAAUUUUGGAGCAUGAAGUUGUAUGUCUCUUCCAAAGUGCCGCUGUUGGGGUUCCUCUGAGCAUUCGGUUCCUCCGUGAAUGCGGUGUUGGUUACAGUGCUCACCUUCAAGGGAACAAAGGAAGUUGUCCUUCCUGUUGUGUGUUAACAGGGACAUUUGUGUGUGAACAGGGACAUCAGCCUUUAUCUUGCACCUCUGGUGUCAAGAAGAGGUUCGCCAUUGAGUUCAGGAUGCAGAGGGCUAGCUUUCCUUUUAAGCAUCCUAUAGAACAACGUGAGCACAAACCACUUCAUCCUUGCAGAUGGAUUGAGCUAGGUGGGGAGAAGCUGAGCUCUUUUAAAAUCAAGGGCUCUACAUUUAUCUUGCAGGCAGGUGCUGUGUAUACUUUCGCCCAAUCCCUCCACUGGUGACAUGGUAGGUUGAAUCAUUCAUUCACAGCAACUGAGAGGUGUGUGGCUUUAAAAUGUAGUCCUCUCAUAAACGGUGAUGAAUGGCUGUCCUAGGGCACAUCUACACUUCCUCCGUGCUUAGCCUAGGAAUGCUGCAGUGAAGCACGACUCACUCGACUGUGCUCCAAUUGCCCCCGCGCCGUUCUUAAGCUCCCCGUCUCAGUCAUGCUUAAAGCCACCCAGUCACCACUGCUGCAAGGUGACUACGCUGCCUCAUUUCCAGGAUUUGGUAUGUGCAAAGCCAGACACUGCACAAAGGUAGGACAGGCAUGCUCUUGCAGAGCUCUAGUGUGGAUAACAUUUGGUUGCUUCCCUAAAACCCUUGGGUCUGCAGUGUCAACCUGGAAAUCUUGUCUGGACAAGACUGGGCGAGAUUUCUGGCAUCCGCUUCAGGUUAAGGUUUGGCUAGGUCUCUCUUAUCAGAUCUUGACACUUCUGGUCCCAGCUUCACUCAGGAACUGCUGGACAUCUGAAAACACCCUAAUUAAAAAAUCAGCCCUCUUCCAAAUUUCUGAGAAUGUUGGUCUGUUGGAAGAAGAUUGCCUUUAAAAAUAAGAUUUAUCCAAAUUGCUUUGUGUAUCCCUAUCUGUGACGUCCGCUCACAGCAGCAAAAGUGGCCUCUGACUGGGUGAAGAGCAAAACUAUAAGUCUGCCGGACAGGAAACAAUUAGCAUGUGGCUGAGGAACAUAUUGGCAGUUAGAUACUACCUCAGCCUCGUUGAAGAACAAUAAGUCACCCAGCAGUGUUAGAGACUCAGUCCUGGUCUACACUGGAAACUUGGCUCAUGCAGUACCAUUGAUCAGAGGGAUGUUUCAUUUUACAAUAUGCACAUAGCGGCAAAAGCUGUACAUUAGAUACGUGCAUAUCAGCAAAAAAGUUCCUUUGGGCUGGUUAAUGUUGCAUCGACACUAGAAAAUUUAACUGGCACGGCAAUACACCAGCCAACAUUUUCAAGCGUAGGUAAGGCCUGGUAUAUGUGUGGACUUAGGAAGCCUGCAGAAUUCAAACCUUUUAUCAUUUCACGUUGUCAAGUUUGUGUGCCCUUCAAACUUUCUUCGCAACUCUUGGUUGACUGGAUGACUACUCUAGACUUGGUGUUCAAGGUGCUCUAAAGCCAGCUCUAAAGCUCAUAUCAGCGACACUCAAAAAUGGAAAUGAGAUGACCUGUUUGACAUUUACAGUAAUUAAUCAUUGGAAGAGAUUGCUGAAAAGAUGUAAAUUCUCCACCUUUUUUUGUCAUUAAAUGUAGUCCAGACGCCUUUCUAAGAAAUGCUCUAAUUCGACUGCAUGCUAUAGGAGUAGAACCACACUAGACGUGCAUUCUGGCUUUAAAAUCUAUGAAUGCUACUCAAAAAUCAGCUACUAAUUUUUAGGACCAGAUCCCGAUUCUAUUAGUAGUCCUGCUGAAUAUAAUCAUUGUCCCUUUGAUUACAAUGUGAGUAUGGGUAUAAUGAUGAAUGAAUGAAAAUAAAGCUAAAAUAAAUUUACAGAAAGAUGUAAGACAGGAAAGGGAUAACAAACGGAUAAAGACAAGAGAGGUCAUCUUUGGGGGGAGGCUGGGGAGAAACAAGGCAUCUCAUUUCCUUGCUAUUUUCCUAAGAAAUUCACUCUCAUUAUCUCUCGUUGAAGGUCAUGUCUAACAAAAUAAGAGAGUCGAGAAGUGAGGUAAUGAUUUUCAAUUUCUGUCACAUUACAAGAAUGAAACACCCUGCUCUGUUUCAUUAGGGCUCCAGGUGACUUGUCACCGGAAUACUUAGCCUCCAUUAAAACUAACUCAAAAAUACAAUGAGAUCAGACUUUCAAGUCACCAAAGAAAACUACUUCUGACAGACCAUGACACAGUGGAUUAUUUUGUACAGUCUCUUUAAGCGCAACUGGCUGCUAUGGGAAUGCACUCCACCCCGAUUUCUGCCAGGCCUGGUACAAUACGAUAAUAUAAAUCCCCUGGUGUUUUUCUUUGAGGAAGAUGCUAUAUUGUUGUCUUUUCCUUUUUCUCAGUAGUGACUGUGGAUGUUUUCUGUCCAAAGGUUGGUAAAUGGGAAUUACACCUCAUAACGCUCCUGUUUCUGUAGACACAGAACCAGUACCUGCCCCACAGUACAUUACUCUCCUGGUUAACGGGAUUAUUUUAGGUGCAAGGUCCUACUCUACAGUAGGACCUUUCUAACAUUGUAUUUUCUGUAACCUAGUUGCAUUCCCCUCCUUACCCCCAUCCCUCCUA